rnacentral:rRNA from 1 species
UACAGAGGGUGCGAGCGUUAAUCGGAAUUACUGGGCGUAAAGCGUGCGUAGGCGGUUAUUUAAGUCGGGUGUGAAAGCCCCGGGCUCAACCUGGGAAUUGCAUUCGAGACUGAAUAGCUAGGGUACGGUAGAGGGAAGCGGAAUUUCCGGUGUAGCGGUGAAAUGCGUAGAUAUCAGGAGGAACACCGGUGGCGAAGGCGGAUCUCUGGGCCAUUACUGACGCUGAGGAGCGAAAGCGUGGGGAGCGAACAGG